UGUAGAUAAUACACAGCGAGUAGCAGCAGAGUACAUGUAGGUGGGGGUGAAGUGACUAUGUGUAGAUAAUAAACAGAGAGUAGCAGCAGUGUACAAAAACAAAUGGAGUGGAGGGGGGGGGGUCAAAGUAAAUAGUUUGGUGGCCAUGUGAUUAAUUGUUCAGCAGACUUAUGGCUCGGGGGUAGAAGCUGUUAAGGAGCCUUUUGGUCCUUAGACUUGUAGUCUACAUGUGACGGUUCACCUGACAAUUUGUGAUUCGCUCUUUCAGCAAUAUUUGAUUCAUAACUUCCUCAGUGGGGUGUGAUAACAUCACGUGUCGUGAGAGUCUCCUUAACCCCGGCUGAGUUGAGAUGGAAGUGAGUCGGACCAGUCUCUCUAGGGAGAAGCCAGAGGAGUAUCAGCGAAGGAUCAUGGGAGAUAGAGUCCAAAUCGAGGCAUGCUACAGAAAUGAACUGGUCAGAGCUGCACAGAGCACUGCUGUUUUCCAGAAACCUACAGUGGUGCGGACCAAUGAGGUGGAGGAGAGGGAGCGCUACAGAUACCAGUGGAGGAAGGAGGACAGGCAGAGAAUCGUCGGUGACAGAUUGGAGCUCUUCGUCGCCAUAGGGACGGGGUUGUUGAUGGGGGUUCUGACAGGUGGUUUUGGAGGUGUUGUCAUGGGAGGGUUGACAGGGGCAGUGAUAUGGUUUACAACAGGACUGGUUAGGAACUGGUGGAGCCCCUGAUUCACUGGGAGACACCAUGUGUAGGCUAUGGAUCUACUUUUAUAAAGACAUUUGGAGGAUAAAACAAUUUGAACAUGUAUAGAUAGAAGGGCUUAAGUCUUGGUCUUGUUUCUUGAUGCAUUUAUCCAACUUUAAUUAUGAAUAAUUUGGAACUGAAUAAAAGCCCAAUAAAGAGAUAAGAAACAGAGAAUAUAUUGAUUAUUUUUAAAGAGAGAUGAAACCCUCAUAUUCAUCACCAGUGUUAACCUACAGUACUUCUGUGAAGUCAGUCCUGAUAUGGGUCUGAACCUGUUACUCAUGAACAAAUUAAAACAGAGAUUCUUCCAGAAAUAUCGUUCCCUGAUUUCAUCUGACCAAGUAUUCAGAUAUUGUGUGACAGUAGUUAUGGCCAGGCCAAUGAAAGACCUUCAUCCUACCCUGUAAAAUCCUUACAAAUAACAGCAACAAGAGCUAGUGACUCGAUCACCAAAUAUACAUGAUCAAUGAAUAGUUUACGUAAACAAACAUAGGGAUCCUACUAGAACCCCGAUCCAGCGACUGUCAACCCAACACAGUUUGGCCAAGAUCACAGUCUGUAUCCAGAAAGGACCUCAGAGUAGGAGUACUGAUCUAGGAUCUGUCCAUAUAAUCAUUAUGAUCGAAACGUCAAAAACUGAUGCUAGAUCAGAACUCUUACGAGCCCUGGUCAUCAUGGAAUCAUGGAAUCAGUAAACCCUGCUCUCAGUCUGUCAUGUAAUCAGUAAACCCUGCUCUCAGUCUGUCAUGGAAUCAGUAAACCCUGCUCUCAUAUCUGUCAUGGUAUCAGUAAACCCUGCUAUCAAUUUGUCAUGGAAUCAGUAAACCCUGCUCCCAUUACUGUCAUGGAAUCAGUAAACCCUGCUCUCAUAUCUGUCAUGGAAUCAGUAAACCCUGCUAUCAAUCUGUCAUGGAAACAGUAAACCCUGCUCUCACUACUGUCAUGGAAUCAGUAAACCCUGCUCUCAAUCUGUCAUAUAGUCAGUAAACCCUGCUCUCAUUACUGUCAUGUAAUCAGUAAACCCUGCUCUCAAUCUGUCAUGGAAUCAGUAAACCCUGCUCUCAUUACUGUCAUGGAAUCAGUAAACCCUGCUCUCAUUACUGUCAUGGAAUCAGUAAACCCUGCUCUCAUUACUGUCAUGGAAUCAGUAAACCCUGCUCUCAAUCUGUCAUGGAAUCAGUAAACCCUGCUCUCAUUACUGUCAUGGCAGAAUGCUCAAAUCACCCCUACUCAUCGGCCAGUGUGGCGUGCUGAAUGCUCCGAGGGCGUAACACUCUGAAUUUAUGAAGGGACAAUCUGACAACACUCUGAGUUUAUGAAGGGACAAUCUGACAACACUGAGUUUAUGAAGGGACAAUCUGACAACGCUCUGAGUUUAUGAAGGGACAAUCUGACAACACUCUGAGUUUAGGAACACCCAGAAAACACUGGCACUCCAGAUUAAAUUUACGAACACAACCGUAGUUUAAACCAGUCUUUAGUCUUGAAAUCUUUGUUUGUUUAGUACAUGGCCUCACAAGUGAAUCCUUAAAGAGAUGGGUGGGGCUAAAGUUUAAUAGUUGUUGUUUUUUAAGUUGUAAAAUUCAAACUAGGUAAAUGAGUAGGUUCUAAUCUGUUUGGAGAAGGGGAUUGUAAAUACAAACAGAUUGUUUUAGAUGAUUUUUACUUUUGCAUGCUGGAGACAAUUGUGAAACCAGUCAUGGAAGCAAACUGAAAACUCAAGGCUACCAA
ensembl:lncRNA